CUGAGCUAAGUACAGGUCUUGCCCAUCUGUUGUAAUUACUGAAAAUUUCUGUUUCAGAAACACCACAACAUGUAGACAACUUCAGAGAGGGACAUACAGAGAGAGCAAACAAAAACAUGUUGCUGCUGCUGGCUAACAGAUGCAAAGCAAGGAUGUCUCAUUAUUUCUCCUACAAUUAAAAAAUUAAUUGGGCAUAAGCUUUACUGUUUCUAGGACAAUGUAAUGGUGAAGUGAUUAGGCUGCAAUCAAACUCUAGUGCCGCACUGGCACUCUCUACAAACAUGUAUGAAGACAGUACACUGCUACAACUCAAAAUUAGGCAUAAGAGAAGGGAUUUAGAACUGAUUCAGCAUAGAAACUUGGAACUCAAAUAAAUGAAUGGAUCAGAAUUAUUGAGGAGUUGCAGCUUUUCUAAGCGUAUGAUACAGUCAUGGAUCAUAAAGUUAUGAAGCAUACAGUACAAGUAGUGACCUAUUUUCCUGCUUAAAUGGAUUGCAAGUAUCUAACCAUAGAAACUUAAUUGUAACAACAAAAUGCUAAACAUACAACAUGAAUUGUGGCCGUGAAUCUUUUCCUCAGAUUUUCAAUCAAAAAUAGAAAUGGAAUCAAAACCAGCGAGUAUAAGUGCAGCAACUAAAUCCAGUAAACCACCGGGAACUUUGAAAGGGAAAUGUGCCCUUGGGCCAUUUCUAAGUAUUUUGGUGAUUUAGUGUCCAACACAAGUGCCUAAGUGUAAAAUGGUGGACAAAGUAAAAAUCAAGUAUAAAGGUAUGUUUCUCAGACUUAGUACAUUGUUUUAGAGACUAAUGUAUUGUGUCUAAGUGCUGGAAACAGGAAAAAUCAAGUUGAAAUUAAAGAUGGCUUUGUUCAGCCAAAGUCAGCUCUGUCUGGGUGCACCGGACUGUCCGGUGGUGCACCGGACAGUGUCCGAUGCGCCAGGCUGGCUCAGGCGAACUUGCUGCUCUCGGGAAGUGAUUAACGGCGUACGGCUAUAAUUCACCGGACUGUCCGGUGUGCACCGGACUGUCCGGUGAGCCAACAGUCGGCCGGGCCCACGGUCGGUCGCGCGAUCCGCGCGAGACACGUGGCCGAGCCAACGGUCGGGAGGGGGCACCGGACUGUCCGGUGUGCACCGGACAGUGUCCGGUGCGCCAACGGCUCCCAAGUGCCAACGGUCGGCUUCGCCAGAUAAGGAAGGAGAUCCGCACCGGACAGUGUCCGGUGGUGCACCGGACUGUCCGGUGCGCCAAGCGACAGAAGGCAAGAAUUGUCUUCCUGGAAUGCACUCAACGGCUCCUAGCUGCCUUGGGGCUAUAAAAGGGACCCCUAGGCGCAUGGAGGAGCACACCAAGCAUUCUCUAAGCAUUCCUAAGCACCAAGACUUCGACUCCGCACAUUUGAUUCUUUGUGAUAGCAAUUAGAGCUCUAUUUGAGUUGUGAACUCGUCGAGUUGUGUUGUGAGCUUUUAUUGCAACUUGUGUGCGUGUUGUCGCUCUGAUUUCGUGUCUUGUGUGCGUUGCUCAUCCUUCCUUACUCUGUGCUUCUUUGUGAACAUCAAGUGUAAGGGCGAGAGGCUCCAAGUUGUGGAGAUUCCUCGCAAGUGGGAUAUAGUAAAGUCAAAGCAAAACACCGUGGUAUUCAAGUGGGUCUUUGGACCGCUUGAAAGGGGUUGAUUGCAACCCUCGUCCGUUGGGACGCCACAACGUGGAGUAGGCAAGUGUUGAACUUGGCCGAACCACGGGAUAAAUCACUGUGUCUAUCUGUGAUUGAUCUUCUUCUGGUUAUCGUGUCUUGCAAAGACUCUUCUCUAGCCACUUGGCAUUCUUGUGCUAACUCCUAAUCAAGUUUUGUGGCAUUAAGUUUCAAGUUUUACAGGAUCACCUAUUCACCCCCCCUCUAGGUGCUCUCAAUUGGUAUCAGAGCCGUUCUCUUCAAGAAAGGGACUAAUCGCCCGAAGAGAUGGAUCCUAAGGGCAAGGGGAUUGUGAUCAAUGAUAAGGAGAAGGAGUCCUUUGUCAACGAGCCUAAAGAUAACAAGCCUACCGACUCGGGCUCGGGCAACAAACGAAAAGAUGGGAAGAAGAAGAAGACGAGGUGUAUCAAGGAGAUCGUCUACUACGACGACAGCGACGAGUCCUCUUCUUCCCAAAAGGACGACGACAACGACUACGAGAAAAAGAAGACGGUUAACUCAAACUUCUCUUUCGAUUAUUCUCGUAUUCCUCAUAGCUCAAAUGCACAUUUGCUUUCCAUUCCUCUUGGCAAACCUCCUCACUUUGAUGGAGAGGACUACGGAUUUUGGAGUCACAAAAUGCGUAGUCACUUGUUCUCUCUCCAUCCAAGCAUAUGGGAGAUAGUCGAGAAUGGAAUGAAAUUUGAUAGCUCGGAUAGUCCUUUGUUUAUCAAUGAAUAGAUUCAUAAAAAUGCACAAGCUACUACUGUGUUGUUAGCCUCAUUGUGCAGGGACAAGUACCAUAAGGUGAGCGGCUUGGACAAUGCCAAGCAGAUCUGGGACACCCUCAAGAUCUCACAUGAGGGAAACGACGUCACCAUGCUCACCAAGAUGGAGUUGGUGGAAGACGAACUCGGGAGAUUCGCGAUGAUAAGAGGGGAGGAGCCAACCCAGACUUACAACAGGCUCAAGACCCUCGUCAACAAGAUAAGGAGCUAUGGAAGCACGCGAUGGACGGACCACGACGUCGUCCGCCUAAUGCUAAGGUCAUUUACCAUCCUUGAUCCACAUCUUGUGAACAAUAUUCGUGAGAAUCCUAGGUACACGAAGAUGACGCCCGAGGAGAUCCUUGGAAAGUUCGUAAGCGGGCGGAUGAUGAUCAAGGAGGCUAGAUACGUCGAUGAUGCAUUAAAUGGCCCAAUCCAAGAGCCUCAAACUAUUGCUCUCAAGGCAACAAGAAGCAAGGAGGCACUACCUAGCAAGGUGGCGCAAGUUGAUGAUGAAGAGAUGGCCCUCAUCAUCAAGCGGUUCAAGACGGCGCUAAAGGGUCGCAAGGAGCACCCCAACAAGAACAAGACGAAGGGGAAGCGCUCCUGCUUCAAAUGUGGUAAGAUUGGUCAUUUUAUCGCUAAUUGUCCCGAUAAUGAUAGUGACCAGGAAAAGAAGAGUGGAAAGUGGGAAAAGAAGAAGAACUACAAGAAGGCGAAGGGCGAGGCACAUCUUGGAAAGGAGUGGGAUUCAGAUUGCUCCUCGUCCGACUCUGACAACGAAGGACUCGCCGCUACCGCCUUCAACAAGUCAUCCCUCUUCCCCAACGAGCAUCACACAUGCCUCAUGGCAAAGGAGAAGAAGGUAUGUACUCGAAACAAUACUACUUAUGCUUCUUCAAGCGAGGAUGAGUCUAGUGAUGAUGAUGAAAUAGACUAUUCAUGCUUAUUCAAGGGCCUAGAUAGAACCAAGGUUGAUAAAAUUAAUGAAUUAAUUGAUGCCUUGAAUGAUAAGAAUAGGUUAUUAGAAAAGCAAGAGGAUCUUUUGUAUGAAGAGCAUGAUAAAUUUGUUAGUGCACAAAAUUCUCUUGCUCUAGAAGUUAAAAGGAAUGAAAUGUUGUCUUGUGAACUAUCUACUUGUCAUGAAACCAUUUCUACUUUAAAAGGUGUUAAUGAUGAUUUGAAUGCUAAACUAGAAGUAGCAAAUAAAUCGAACUCUUGUGUAGAACAUGUUAUAAUUUGCAAUAGGUGCAAAGAUUUUAAUGUUGAUGCUUGUAGUGAACACCUAGUUUGCAUCUCUAAAUUAAAUGAUGAAGUGGCUAGUCUUAAUGCCCAACUUAAGACUAGCAAGAGUGAAUUUGACAAGCUAAAAUUUGCUAGGGAUGCUUACACGAUUGGUAGACACCCCUCAAUUAAGGAUGGUCUUGGCUUCAAGAGGGAAGUCAAGAACUUAACAAGCCAUAAGGCUCUCAUCUCCACCAAGGAGAAAGGGAAGGCCCCUAUGGCUAGUAGUGCUCAAAAGAACCAUGCUUUCAUGUAUCAUGAUAGGAGACAUUCGAGAAAUGUUUAUAGAAAUUAUGAUGCUUUUGGUUCUCAUGCUAUGGUUGCUUCUAGUUCAUCUAUUAUGCAUGAUAGAAAUUUAGCUAGGAGAAAUGCUAUUAAUCACACGCCUAGAAGAAAUGUUGUUCAUGUGCCUAGGAAAACAAAUAGUGAACCUUCUACAAUUUAUCAUGCUUUAAUUGCUUCUUUUGCUAUUUGUAGAAAGGAUAAGAAGGUGAUUGCUAGAAAAUUAGGGGCAAAAUGCAAGGGAGAUAAAACUUGCAUUUGGGUCCCUAAGGCAAUUUGUACUAACCUUGUAGGACCCAACAAGAGUUGGGUACCUAAGACCCAAGACUAAAUUGCCUUGCAGGUUUAUGCAUCCGGGGGCUCUAGCUGGAUUAUCGACAGCGGAUGCACAAACCACAUGACGGGGGAAAAGAGGAUGUUCUCUUCCUACGUCAAGAACAAGGAUCCCCAAGAUUCAAUCAUAUUCGGUGACGGGAAUCAAGGCAAGGUUAAAGGCUUAGGCAAGAUUGCAAUCUCAAAUGAGCACUCUAUUUCUAAUGUAUUCUUAGUUGAGUCGCUUGGAUAUAAUUUGUUAUCCGUAAGUCAAUUAUGUAAUAUGUGAUAUAAUUGUCUAUUCACUAAUGUAGAUGUGUCUGUCUUUAGAAGAAGUGAUGGUUCAUUAGCUUUUAAGAGUGUAUUAGACGGCAAACUCUAUUUAGUUGAUUUUGCAAAAGAGGAGGUCGGUCUAGAUGCAUGCUUAAUUGCUAAGACUAGCAUGGGCUGGCUGUGGCAUCGCCGCUUAGCACAUGUGGGGAUGAAGAACCUUCACAAGCUUCUAAAGGGAGAAUACGUGAUAGGUCUAACUAAUGUUACUUUCGAAAAAGAUAGACCUUGUGCAGCUUGUCAAGCAGGGAAAUAGGUGGGAAGCUCUCAUCAUGCCAAAAAUGUGAUGACAACAUCAAGACCCUUGGAGUUACUUCAUAUGGACCUCUUCGGACCCGUCGCCUAUCUGAGCAUUGGAGGAAGUAAGUAUGGUCUUGUUAUAGUUGAUGAUUUUUCCCGCUUCACUUGGGUAUUCUUUUUGCAGGAUAAAUCUGAAACCCAAGGGACCCUCAAGCGCUUCCUAAGGAGAGCUCAAAACGAGUUUGAGCUCAAGGUGAAGAAGAUAAGAAGUGACAAUGGGUCCGAAUUCAAGAACCUUCAAGUGGAGGAGUAUCUUGAGGAAGAAGGAAUCAAGCACGAGUUCUCCGCUCCCUACACACCACAACAAAAUGAUGUGGUAGAGAGGAAGAACAAGACGCUUAUAGACAUGGCGAGGACGAUGCUUGGAGAGUUCAAAACCCCCGAGCGCUUUUGGUCGGAAGCCGUGAACACGGCUUGCCACGCCAUCAACUGGGUCUACCUUCAUCGCCUCCUCAAGAAGACUUCGUAUGAGCUACUAACCGGUAACAAACCCAAUGUUUCGUAUUUUCGAGUUUUUGGGAGUAAAUGCUACAUUCUAGUGAAAAAGGGUAGAAAUUCCAAAUUUGCUCCCAAAGCCGUAGAAGGGUUUUUGUUAGGUUAUGACUCAAAUACAAAGGCGUAUAGGGUCUUCAACAAAUCAUCGGGGUUGGUUGAAGUCUCUAGCGACGUUGUAUUUGAUGAGACUAAUGGCUCUCCAAGAGAGCAAGUUGUUGAUCUUGAUGAUGUAGAUGAAGAAGACGUUCCAACGGCCGCAAUGCGCACCAUGGCGAUUGGAGAUGUGAGGCCAAUGGAACAAAAGGAGCAAGAUCAACCUUCUUCCUCAACAAUGGUGCAUCCCCCAACUCAAGAAGAUGAACAGGUUCAUCAAGAGGAGGCAUGUGAUCAAGGGGGAGCACAAGAUGAUCAAGUAAUGGAGGAAGAAGCACAACCGACACCUCCAACUCAAGUCCGAGCGAUGAUUCAAAGGAAUCAUCCCGUCGACCAAAUUUUGGGUGACAUUAGCAAGGGAGUAACUACUCGAUCUCGAUUAGUUAAUUUUUGUGAGCAUUACUCCUUUGUCUCUUCUAAUGAGCCUUUCAGGGUAGAGGAGGCCUUGCUAGAUCCGGACUGGGUGUUGGCCAUGCAAGAGGAGCUCAAUGACUUCAAGAGAAAUGAAGUUUGGACACUGGUGCCUCGUCCCAAGCAAAAUGUUGUGGGAACCAAGUGGGUGUUUCGCAACAAACAAGACGAGCACGGGGUGGUGACAAGGAACAAGGCUAGACUUGUGGCAAAAGGUUAUGCCCAAGUCGCAGGUUUGGACUUUGAGGAGACUUUUGCUCCUGUGGCUAGGAUAGAGUCCAUUCGUAUUUUGCUAGCAUAUGCCGCUCACCAUUCUUUCAGGUUGUUCCAAAUGGAUGUGAAGAGCGCUUUCCUCAAUAGGCCAAUCAAGGAGGAGGUGUGCAUAGAGCAACCCCCUGGCUUCGAGGAUGAACGGUACCCCGACCACGUGUGUAAGCUCUCUAAGGCGCUCUAUGGACUUAAGCAAGCCCCAAGAGCAUGGUAUGAAUGCCUUAGAGACUUUUUAAUUGCUAAUGCUUUCAAGGUUGGGAUAGCCGAUCCAACUCUUUUUACUAAGACUUGUGAUGGUGAUCUGUUUGUGUGCCAAAUUUAUGUCGAUGACAUAAUAUUUGGUUCUACUAACCAAAAGUCUUGUGAAGAGUUUAGCAGGGUGAUGACUCAAAAGUUCGAGAUGUCGAUGAUGGGCGAGUUAAGCUACUUCCUUGGGUUCCAAGUGAAGCAACUCAAGGAUGGGACCUUCAUCUCCCAAACAAAGUACACACAAGACUUGAUCAAGAGGUUUGGGAUGAAGGACGCCAAGCCCGCAAAGACUCCAAUGGGAACCGACGAACACACCGACCUCAACAAAGGAGGUAAGUCCGUUGAUCAAAAGGCAUACCGGUCUAUGAUAGGGUCUUUACUUUAUUUAUGUGCUAGUUGACCGGAUAUUAUGCUUAGCGUAUGCAUGUGUGCUAGAUUUCAAUCCGAUCCAAGGGAGUGUCACUUAGUGGCGGUGAAGCGAAUUCUUAGAUAUUUAGUCGCUACACCUUGCUUCGGGAUCUGGUAUCCAAAGGGGUCUACCUUUGACUUGAUUGGAUACUCAGACUCCGAUUAUGCUGGAUGUAAGGUCGAUAGGAAGAGUACAUCGGGGACGUGCCAAUUCUUAGGAAGGUCCCUGGUGUCAUGGAGCUCUAAGAAACAAACCUCUGUUGCCCUAUCCACCGCUGAGGCCGAGUACGGUACCGUAGGACAGUGUUGCGCGCAACUACUUUGGAUGAGGCAAACCCUCAGGGACUUUGGCUACAAUUUGAGCAAAGUCCCACUCCUAUGUGAUAAUGAGAGUGCUAUCCGCAUGGCGGAUAAUCCUGUUGAACACAGCCGCACAAAGCACAUAGACAUCCGGCAUCACUUUUUGAGAGACCACCAGCAAAAGGGGGAUAUCGAAGUGUUUCAUGUUAGCACCGAGAACCAGCUAGCCAAUAUUCUUACCAAGCCUCUAGAUGAGAAGAUCUUUUGCAAGUUGCGUAGUGAGCUAAAUGUCUUAGAUUCGCGGAACUUGGAUUGAUUUAUAGCAUACAUGUGGUUUAUGCCUUGAUCAUGUUCCUUAAUACUUCUUGUUGUUUAUUUAUGGUGCUCAAGUUGUACAAGCACUCCCCGGACCUCACAAGUCCAUUUGCAAGUGAUGCACAUAUUUAGGGGGAGAUGUGCUACAACUUGACCCUUUGAGACUAACUGUGUGCUUGAGUUUGCUUAAUUUAGUCUCAAAGGAGGUUUGAAAGGGAAAGGCGGACUUGGACCAUGCAAGACUUCCACUGCACUCUGAUGAAAGAGUAACUUAUUCCGAGUUCAUCUUUGUACUCUUAUUGCCUUUUUACUCUUAGUUGAAGAUUUUGGUGAGGCAAUGGGGUUAAAGGGCCAAGAUUGAUCCCGUUUUGGUGCUUGAUGCCAAAGGGGGAGAAAAUAAGGCCAAAGCAAGAAAUGGAUCGGCUACCACUUGAGAAUUUUGAAACUAGUAGAGUUAGAGUUUUUGUUUGUCAAAAUACUCUUGUUGAAACUAGUAGAGUUAGAGUUUUUGUUUGUCAAAAUACUCUUGUUGAAACUAGUAGAGUUAAAGUUUUUGUUUGUCAAAAUACUCUUGUUUGUCUCUUAUUAUCCAAAGUUGGUCUCUUGUGGGGAGAAGGCUUAAUUAUGGGAAAAAGGGGGAGUUUUUGAACUCUUUGAUAAAUUUCUCUUGAAAUAUCUCUCUUUAUGUUUCAACAAGUGUGUUUGACUUAGAGAUAGGAAAUUGAGUUUGAUUUGCAAAAACAAACCAAGUGGUGGCAAAGAAUGAUCCAUAUAUGUCAAAUUUGAAUCAAAACAAUUUUGAGUUCCUAUUUGAAUUGAUUUUGCACUUGUUCUACUUGCUUUAUGUUGUGUUGGCAUAAAUCACCCAAAAGGGAGAGAUUGAAAGGGAAAUGUGCCCUUGGGCCAUUUCUAAGUAUUUUGGUGAUUUAGUGUCCAACACAAGUGCCUAAGUGUAAAAUGGUGGACAAAGUACAAAUCAAGUAUAAAGGUAUGUUUCUCAGACUUAGUACAUUGUUUUAUAGACUAAUGUAUUGUGUCUAAGUGCUGGAAACAGGAAAAAUCAAGUUGAAAUUAAAGAUGGCUUUGUUCAGCCAAAGUCAGCUCUAUCUGGGUGCACCGGACUGUCCGGUGGUGCACCGGACAGUGUCCGGUGCGCCAGGCUGGCUCAGGCGAACUUGCUGCUCUUGGGAAGUGAUUAACGGCGUACGGCUAUAAUUCACCGGACUGUCCGGUGUGCACCGGACUGUCCGGUGAGCCAACAGUCGGCCGGGCCAAUGGUCGGCCGCGCGAUCCGCGCGAGACACGUGGCCGAGCCAACGGCCGGGAGGGGGCACCGGACUGUCCGGUGCGCCAGGCGACAGAAGGCAAGAAUUGCCUUCCUGGAAUGCACUCAACGGCUCCUAGCUGCCUUGGGGCUAUAAAAGGGACCCCUAGGCGCAUGGAGGAGCACACCAAACAUUCUCUAAGCAUUCCUAAGCACCAAGACUUCGACUCCGUGCAUUUGAUUCUUUGUGAUAGCAAUUAGAGCUCUAUUUGAGUUGUGAACUCGUCGAGUUGUGUUGUGAGCUCUUAUUGCGACUUGUGUGCGUGUUGUCGCUCUGAUUUCGUGUCUUGUGUGCGUUGCUCAUCCUUCCUUACUCCGUGCUUCUUUGUGAACAUCAAGUGUAAGGGCGAGAGGCUCCAAGUUGUGGAGAUUCCUCGCAAGUGGGAUAUAGUAAAGUGAAAGCAAAACACCGUGGUAUUCAAGUGUGUCUUUGGACCGCUUGAAAGGGGUUGAUUGCAACCCUCGUCCGUUGGGACGCCACAACGUGGAGUAGGCAAGUGUUGAACUUGGCCAAACCAUGGGAUAAAUCACUGUGUCUAUCUGUGAUUGAUCUUCUUGUGGUUAUCGUGUCUUGCAAAGACUCUUCUCUAGCCACUUGGCAUUCUUGUGCUAACUCCUAAUCAAGUUUUGUGGCAUUAAGUUUCAAGUUUUACAGGAUCACCUAUUCACCCCCCCUCUAGGUGCUCUCAAACUUUUCAUCCACUAAUGCAUUUCCACAUAGUUGGUAUUUUGUUUUCCAGACAGGUUUAGCCACUAAUCAUUUCCCAAGUUACUGAAAGUAUUUCACAUAGAACCACACAAUAGCGGUGGCAUGCCUGAGUCAAUAUAUGCAGUAAAUUCAUGCGUAGCAUACUAAACUACUAUGCAAUUUUGUGUGCAUGAUUAGUCAGGAAAUUAUAUAACUUGAGUAUUACCUGAAGUUGUUAACAAGUAGAUGAAGUCUGAACUGAAUUGGACCAAGAUCCACACACUUGCCUCACGAAUUAGACCAUGUUGACAUGUAGACAGAGUCAUUGACAUGCUGCGAUCCGGUCUAGCAAAUUUAUUAAAAGAAGUGGUCCUCACAGUGUCUUAUGACAAACCAUCCAAAAAUUAGUGCUAAUGUGUAGUGCCAAUACCUGGUGGGUGCGCGAUGCCGGCAGAAGUCCCGAAGGCCUGAACACCAACCAUAAGGUGGAGGCGGCAGAGGACACGACAGAGGAGGUGGUGGCUCUAGGUACAGAAACCCUAACCCGCUCUCGUCGCCAGGGAACGGGCGGAGCAG
rnacentral:lncRNA from 1 species